rnacentral:rRNA from 1 species
AUUGAACGCUAGCGGGAUGCCUUACACAUGCAAGUCGAACGGAGUGGCGAAAGGGUGAGUAAUGUAUCGGAACGUGCCCAGUAGCGGGGGAUAAAUCCGCGGAAGCGUAGCUAAUACCGCAUACUAUUGGAGCGGCCGAUAUCUGAGUAGCUAGUUGGUGGGGUAACGGCUCACCAAGGCGACGAUCCGUAGCUGGUUUGAGAGGACGACCAGCCACACUGGUACUGAGACACGGCCCAGACUCCUACGGGAGGCAGAAGGUGGGAAUGUUGGACAAUGGGGGAAACCCUGAUCCAGCCAUCCCGCGUGUGCGAUGAAGGCCUUCGGUUUGUAAAGCACUUUUGGCAGGAAAGCGGUACCUGCAGAAUAAGCACCGGCUAACUACGUGCCAGCAGCCGCGGUAAUUC